rnacentral:lncRNA from 1 species
AAAUUUCCCCCUUGGACCCUUACAAAGAGACUCGGUACUGGACUGGUGGUGGAGAUGUUUACAUGGACACAGCAGUGCCUGUCCAGCUGCUCUGAAGGUGACAGGUGGAUGAACAGCUGGUUCCCACCUGCUGGGAUAAGAGAGCAGAUGGAGGAGGGAGCACAGGUGUGGGAAUGUGCAGGUGCCAGACUUCCCCGGAGCAGAUGCCCCAGGUCCCAAUUCACAGAUUUGCUCAUGAUCCACCCUCUCCGUGGCCGUCAAGUCCCGGUAAAGGAUGACUUGGACAUGAUGAACUCUACUGCCUCGUGCACAUUACUUCCAUGCCGUGUCUUUCCUGGAUAACUCGAAACUAAGGAUUAAUUGCCGACCUGCUGGGUUCACCUUGUGACCACUGACCUGCUGUGCCAGCAAAGCAACCUCAUGACUGUUGUAAAAGGGACAUUCCUGUCAUAGGUGACGUAUGCUCUUCGUUCCAAGACAGUAUGUAACCACUCUGCACACCCACUUCUUUGAAGGCACUCUCUCAGGCUGUAUGGUCCUCAGGGUUGGCUCACAAUAUACUUACCCCAAUUCUGAUUAUAGAUUGAUUAUGGAUUAUUUGUGUCAACAAGCAGAUGAAGGCAAAGGGAGAGAAUAAACAAAGAAGAAAAAAUUAAAGCGUAUGUUUUCAUUCUAUUUUAUAAUUGCCGAGCUAUUUUAACCAAAGUAUCAAAAUGUAAUACAUUUCAACUAUUUUAUUUCACAG